UCGGGAAUUUUGGGCAAUGGGCGAAAGCCUGACCCAGCAACGCCGCGUGAAGGAUGAAGUCUUUCGGGAUGUAAACUUCGUAAGAAUAGGAAGAAUAAAUGACGGUACUAUUUGUAAGGUCCGGCUAACUACGUGCCAGCAGCCGCGGUAAUACGUAGGGACCAAGCGUUGUUCGGAUUUACUGGGCGUAAAGGGCGCGUAGGCGGCAAUUCAAGUCACUUGUGAAAUCUCUGAGCUUAACUCAGAACGGUCAAGUGAUACUGCUUUGCUAGAGUGCAGAAGGGGCAACCGGAAUUCUUGGUGUAGCGGUGAAAUGCGUAGAUAUCAAGAGGAACACCGGAGGUGAAGACGGGUUGCUGGGCUGACACUGACGCUGAGGCGCGAAAGCUAGGGUAGCAAACGG
rnacentral:rRNA from 1 species